CAUCGAGUCUGAAUGAUACUGAAGACUUUCAGAUUCUUCUUCAGAUAUCUGCCGUCAUGAUUAUUUUCACUCUCCUCAGUUUUUUGUGGACGUUUAUUGGCCACACAGAGGCAGAUGUAAUAAAAUCCUCGUCAGAGGAUGAAAAUAAACUUGUUGGUGACACUGUUACUCUGUCCUGCAGUUACAAACACUAUACGGGUACUGUACAGAAUUUACAAUGGUACAGACAAUAUCCCAGAUCCAAACCGGAGUACCUCCUUUACAUUUUCCCACAUGGAGCUAUGAGUGAAGGUAGACCAGAGAGAUUUUCAGCUGAAGUUCAUCAAGAUAUUAAAAAAGUGGAUCUGAAGAUCUCCUCUGCUGUUCAGGCAGAUUCUGCCAUGUACUAUUGUGCCCUGGUGCCCACAGUGACAGGAAAUAUAACUGCAUCAUACAAAAACCNACACAAUGAGCUCAAGACUCAUCAUGGAAGGUCAAAUCUUGCCACAGGGUGGAGCUCCAGACUUAAAUCACAGUGUUUCAGUGAGAAAAGACACAUCUGA